GUUUUUAAAAAAAAUCAAUGGCCGCAGUACCUUGACUGUGCUAAGGUAGCAUAAUCAAUUGGCUUUUAAUUAAGGUCUAGAAUGAAUGGGAUAAUGAAGUUAAUCUGUCUUAGUUGCUUUUAUUAAAAUUUAUUUAAAAGGUGAAAAUACCUUUUUUAAAAAUAAAGACGAGAAGACCCUUAGAAUUUUUAUUAUUUUUUUUUGUUGGGGCGACAGUUUAAAAAUAUAAUCUUAAAUUUAUUGUAUAUAUAACGAUUUUUUUAAUAGAAAUUAAAUUACCUUAGGGAUAACAGCAUAAUUAAUUAUUUAGUUUGUGACCUCGAUGUUGGACUAGGAACUAUAUGGCUAACCGUCUAAUUAGAUUUGUUCUGUUCGAACAAUUUUAUCCUACGUGAUCUGAGUUCAGACCGG
rnacentral:rRNA from 1 species